CCUCCCUCUGCGUUGGGUUUUCCUCAGGCACCCAGCCGGAUCCUCCUGGAGGAAGAUUUGGAGAGCGAUCGCUGCGUCUUUCUCUAGCAGCCGUUGAAGGGCAGGUAAAGGAAGAGCCAAAGAGGCGGUCACCUAGAUUAUCUGCUAAGCCUGUUCCUCCUAAAUCUGAGCCCAAAACCAAAAAGGCAGCAGCCCCAAAGAAAGUGAACGUAGCAAAUGAUAAAAAGGAAAUCAAAGGCAAGAAAGGGGCUGCCAAAGUCAAAGUGGAAACCAAGCAGGAGGAAGUGAAAGAAGAAAACCACUCUGAAAAUGGAGAGACCCAAACUAAUGAGGUGCCAGCUGUGGAAGAACCCGAGGAGAAAGUAACCAAGCCUGAGUAAUACGUAACACUGCCCUAUAUCUCCAUCAGUUUGGUAUCUGUAACUCCAUCCUGUAUUGUCGACAGAGAGGAAUAUUUUUAUCAACUAUUUUCUAAAUGCAGGUUUUUUUUUUUUAGCAUGAAGUUAAUUUUGGAACGUCUCCAUCUUGGUCGCUUGGGUAUGAUGUCACCAACAACAUAUCACUGUCUCUGCAUUUUGUGAUUGUAAUAGUUUGAUCUAUGGGAAGAAUAAGUGGUGGUAGCUUCUGACUUUUGUCACUGUGUACCCUUCCUUGUGUAAGCUAUCCUUUCCGUCCUUUGAAUUUUUCUUUGGCCCUGGUACAUGUUUAAUUCAGUGAAGUGGGGAGGCCCCAAGUAGAAAGUUCUUGCAUCGGCUAGUCCGGGGUGUCUGUGGGUUGAUUUUAUAAAGAAGGUGAGCUAUUUUCAUGAAAUUCUAAGAGUUGGAAAUAUCUUUCCCAAAUAUAACUUUAAUAUUAGUUUUUGAAAGAAAGUAAAAUGUAAUCAUGUUUUUAAAUGAAAUACAAAUGUUUAUUUCAGAAGGGCAGGUUGAUUGUAUGUGUAGCCACUAUUAGAAAUUUUGCUGGAUUUAUCUUAAUAAAAUAAAAAGACUCCUCA
rnacentral:lncRNA from 1 species